CGGAGGAUCCAAGCGUUAUCCGGAAUCAUUGGGUUUAAAGGGUCCGUAGGCGGUUUUAUAAGUCAGUGGUGAAAUCUGGUCGCUCAACGAUCAAACGGCCAUUGAUACUGUAAGACUUGAAUUACUUGGAAGUAACUAGAAUAUGUAGUGUAGCGGUGAAAUGCUUAGAGAUUACAUGGAAUACCAAUUGCGAAGGCAGGUUACUACAAGUAUAUUGACGCUGAUGGACGAAAGCGUGGGGAGCGAACAGGAUUAGAUACCCUGGUAGUCCACGCCGUAAACGAUGGAUACUAGCUGUUUGGAGCAAUCUGAGUGGCUAAAGCGAAAGUGAUAAGUAUCCCACCUGGGGAGUACGCUCGCAAGAGUG
rnacentral:rRNA from 1 species